rnacentral:rRNA from 1 species
UACGUAGGGUGCAAGCGUUGUCCGGAAUUAUUGGGCGUAAAGAGCUUGUAGGCGGUUUGUCGCGUCUGCUGUGAAAUUUCGGGGCUCAACCCCGAACUUGCAGUGGGUACGGGCAGACUAGAGUGUGGUAGGGGAGACUGGAAUUCCUGGUGUAGCGGUGAAAUGCGCAGAUAUCAGGAGGAACACCGAUGGCGAAGGCGGGUCUCUGGACAGUUCCUGACGCUGAGGCGCGAGGGCCAGGGGAGCGAACGGG